UACGAAGGGAGCUAGCGUUGUUCGGAAUCACUGGGCGUAAAGCGCACGUAGGCGGAUGUGUCAGUCAGGGGUGAAAUCCCGGAGCUCAACUUCGGAACUGCCCUUGAUACAGCACAUCUGGAGUCCGGAAGAGGUGGGUGGAAUUCCUAGUGUAGAGGUGAAAUUCGUAGAUAUUAGGAGGAACACCGAUGGCGAAGGCAGCUCGCUGGGACGGUACUGACGCUGAGGCGCGAAAGCGUGGGGAGCGAACAGG
rnacentral:rRNA from 1 species